rnacentral:miRNA from 1 species
UAACGGAACCCAUAAUGCAGCUGUGU